rnacentral:rRNA from 1 species
AGCAGGCGCGCAAAUUACCCAAUCCCGACACGGGGAGGUAGUGACAAUAAAUAACAAUACGGGGUUCUUUAGGAUCUCGUAAUUGGAAUGAGUACAAUUUAAAUCUCUUAACGAGGAACAAUUGGAGGGCAAGUCUGGUGCCAGCAGCCGCGGUAAUUCCAGCUCCAAUAGCGUAUAUUAAAGUUGUUGCAGUUAAAAAGCUCGUAGUUGAAUUUCGGGGUUAGUAGGUUGGUCAUGCCUCUGGUAUGUACUGGUCUCACUGAUUCCUCCUUCCUUAUGAACCGUAAUGCCAUUAAUUUGGUGUUGCGGGGAAUUUGGACUGUUACUUUGAAAAAAUUAGAGUGUUUAAAGCAAGCUAACGCUUGAAUACAUUAGCAUGGAAUAAUGAAAUAGGACGUUCGAUCUUAUUUUGUUGGUUUCUAGGAUUGACGUAAUGAUUAAUAGGGAUAGUUGGGGGCAUUAGUAUUCAAUUGUCAGAGGUGAAAUUCUUGGAUUUAUUGAAGACUAACUACUGCAAAAGCAUUUGCCAAGGAUGUUUUCAUUAAUCAAGAACGAAAGUUAGGGGAUCGAAGACGAUCAGAUACCGUCGUAGUCUUAACCAUAAACUAUGCCGACUAGGGAUCGGAUGAUGUUAAUUUUUUAAUGACUCAUUCGGCGCCUUACGGGAAACCAAAGUGUUUGGGUU